rnacentral:rRNA from 1 species
UACAGAGGUCCCGAGCGUUGUUCGGAUUCAUUGGGCGUAAAGGGUGCGUAGGCGGCGGGGUAAGUCUGAUGUGAAAUCCUGGGGCUCAACCCCAGAACUGCAUUGGAUACUGCCUUGCUAGAGUACUGGAGAGGAAACUGGAAUUUACGGUGUAGCAGUGAAAUGCGUAGAGAUCGUAAGGAAGACCAGUGGCGAAGGCGAGUUUCUGGACAGUAACUGACGCUGAGGCACGAAAGCGUGGGGAGCAAACAGG